rnacentral:lncRNA from 1 species
CUCAUGUUUUUUUAUCUCUUAUCUCUAACAAAUCCUACUUUCACUCAUCUACUGACAAGUGUCCCUCAUCUAACAGCUCACUACAUAUACUGACCACUCUACCCUCACAUAUUACAUUAUGACUCAUAAGGGAUUACAUAUGUGACAUUGCAUUCCUCUCUGAAAGAAUCCUUGUCCUCAAGGAUUAAAAUCUGGAAAAUGUGAGUGAAUAUAGCUCCAAUCCUCCCAUGUAGCAUCAGUAGGCAGACCAUUAGACCAGUGAAUCAACACUUGAGAGACAGCCUGGUUGUUCCUAGGGACCAUUCUUCUGUCUAAAAUAGC